CAUAUUUAGCUGCAGUACUUCCUUGUUUGACAGGUCUUUUUAGGUAAGAAAGAUGUGUUUUCAACAACUGCCUGCUUUUUCAGAAUGGCAGCAAAACCUAAGUCUGAUGAUAGAUUUUGUUAUUAUUUGGUUUUUGUUGCAGAAAUGGCCUCUGGCAUCCAUCUUUACAAGUCCUGUGGUGAGGAAGAAGCAGAGGAUUGAGCAGAAGCCCAGUGAUGUCCAGCCAGCAGCUGGUGGCCACUCUCCUUCUGCCUUAGUCCUGCUUUGACAUCCUGUUCUCCUCUUUACCUGUCUCCAAGAAUGGGCUCCAUUUCUGCCUGCACUCAUGAGGUGCAAGAAGAAGAUAAAUUUCAGGAAUUGCGAUGCCUGCCAGGGUGCAGGGGAAGACUCCCAAGUCCGAUGGGGGCAAAACAGAAUUGAAAAUUGUGAAGCUUGCACUGACUGGACUCUGUGCAACGCUGUUUAUCAGUGACCCUACAGGGACAGGGUGAUUCACUUACUGGCUCUGAGAACUUACGAGAACCCAGAGUUACUUGCUCGCUUGUAGAGAGAUGGGCUCAAGCAAAAUUACAAGGGUUCCCUUGGAAAGAUCCUUCAGCAGGGUAGCCCCAGCUACUCUGAGAUGAACAGCAGGAGCAGUAUCUCCACGAAAAGCUGUCACAUAUUCAGCAGUGAGUAUCUGAAUUUGACAGGGGGCAAGUGGAGUCCUGGGACCAGUCGUCUGUUUCAGCAAGAGAACAUCAAUGAACUCCGGCUUUUUUAUUUCAAAUAGAGGAUUAGUUUUUUUAGGAUUAUUCAAGUUAGUAUUGAACAGUAGUUUACGUUAGCAUUGAGUAGAAGAUUAUUUGUUUAAAACAUUAAAAGGAUUAGUUGGUCAAAGCUUACAGAAUUUAGUAUUCAACUGUAAGAAUAAAGAAGUUGCAUUAUUGUUAACUCCUUCUUUUAUUGUCACUUAUGUCAUAUUUGGAGUGGCUUUCUUCUGGUCAAUUCUUUUCUUCAACACUUAGGUUUGUCCACUGAAAUAAUUUUAUCAGUAGAUGGUGGGAACCCAGUACCUCUACUAAGAAUAUGCACACGUUUUAAGAAAAUAUUGCAGCAAAUGGAAAUUCUUUAUGUUAAGUAUAGGGGUGUUUUCCAACCUUUCUUGUAAAUUCAAGCUCUUUGCCUUAAGUGGUCGAAGGCGUAGGAAUUUGGACAACCCCAAAUCACCUUGUUUUGGAGGGGUACAGAGGAACGCGGAUGGGCUGCUCUAAGCUGUCAGCUGAAGCAGCUCCCAGGACUGAUUGUUAAUCUUGGCUUCACCUUGUCAGUGAGCCAGGGAAUAUCCAGGUCUUCUGCAAGUGUUUUAAAAACACAUGGAGAUGUGUUGGAGGCAAGGUACUUCAAUGGGUUUUCAAGAGAAAUUGGGUUAAAGUGUCCCUAUGGAAACUCUGUCCCUUUUGUAGCUUUUUUCAACAUAGUCUGUCACAAACAGUCUUUCCAGAGAGACACAGCUGUUGAUUCCUGCACAGGCCUAUGGGGACGUUGGAGUCUGGUUCUUUUCCUAAGUUUCCUGUCAUUUAUUUAUUCAGCUGACAGGGUAGAGGUGUGGCCAGCAAUGCCAUAACCUUACUCUUUUGGGGUAAAUUGACUGAGGGAGGACAACAUUUGGGAACCUUCAAACAGGGCUGUGAAUGCCCCUUUCUUCCUAGGAGAGUAUUUUACAGCUUCCUCAAUUGUCUUCAUGCCAACGAUGUUAAGCCCCAGUACCUGAGGCCUCUUGGGGCGUUUUGUGAUUGAACACGUAAGCCGUUGUUGCCCUUCUGUUCUCCUUCAGCUGAAGUUCAAUAAAAUGUCACCUCUU